rnacentral:rRNA from 1 species
AUUGAACGCUGGCGGCAUGCCUUACACAUGCAAGUCGAACGGUAACGGGUCCUUCGGGAUGCCGACGAGUGGCGAACGGGUGAGUAAUAUAUCGGAACGUGCCCAGUAGUGGGGGAUAACUGCUCGAAAGAGCAGCUAAUACCGCAUACGACCUGAGGGUGAAAGGGGGGGAGUCGCAAGACCUCUCGCUAUUGGAGCGGCCGAUAUCAGAUUAGCUAGUUGGUGGGGUAAAGGCCUACCAAGGCUACGAUCUGUAGUUGGUCUGAGAGGACGACCAGCCACACUGGGACUGAGACACGGCCCAGACUCCUACGGGAGGCAGCAGUGGGGAAUUUUGGACAAUGGGCGCAAGCCUGAUCCAGCAAUGCCGCGUGCAGGAAGAAGGCCUCGGUUGUAACU